UACGUAGGGGGCAAGCGUUGUCCGGAUUUAUUGGGCGUAAAGAGCGUGUAGGCGGCCAGGUAGGUCCGUUGUGAAAACUCGAGGCUCAACCUCGAGACGUCGAUGGAAACCAUCUGGCUAGAGUCCGGAAGAGGAGAGUGGAAUUCCCGGUGUAGCGGUGAAAUGCGCAGAUAUCGGGAGGAACACCGGUGGCGAAGGCGGUUCUCUGGGCCUGACCUGACGCUGAGGAGCGAAAGCGUGGGGAGCGAACAGG
rnacentral:rRNA from 1 species